GGAUGAACGCUGGCGGCGUGCUUAACACAUGCAAGUCUGGGGGAAACUUGCUUCGGCGAGGCGGAUACCGGCGGACGGGUGAGUAACACGUGGAUAAUCUGCCCCUAUCACAGGGAUAACGUCGGGAAACUGACGCUAAUACCUGAUGAGGCGUUUACGUCAAAGCUUCGGCGGAUAGGGAUGAGUCUGCGUCUAAUUAGCUUGUUGGUGGGGUAACGGCUCACCAAGGCGACGAUUAGUAGCUGGUUUGAGAGGAUGAUCAGCCACACCGGAACUGAGACACGGUCCGGACUCCUACGGGAGGCAGCAGUGAGGAAUUUUGGGCAAUGGGGGCAACCCUGACCCAGCGACGCCGCGUGCAGGAUGACAGCCCUUCGGGUUGUAAACUGCUUUCGGGUAGGAAGAAAAGCCGGGUCUCCCGGCCGGGACAGUACUGCCAGAAGAAGCACCGGCAAACUACGUGCCAGCAGCCGCGGUAAUACGUAGGGUGCGAGCGUUAUCCGGAAUUACUGGGUAUAAAGGGUGCGUAGGCGGGCUUGUGCGUCGAUGGUUAAAGACCGGGGCUUAACUCCGGGAAUGUCAUCGAUACGGCAGGUCUUGAAUGUGAGAGAGGAUGAUGGAAUUCCUGGUGUAGCGGUGAAAUGCGUAGAUAUCAGGAGGAACACCGGUAGCGAAGGCGGUCAUCCGGCUCAUUAUUGACGCUGAGGCACGAAAGCGUGGGGAGCGAACAGGAUUAGAUACCCUGGUAGUCCACGCCAUAAACGAUGUAUGCUUGGUUGUUCCCUCUCGUAGGGAGUGCCGGAGGAAAUCCGUUAAGCAUACCACCUGGGGAGUACGAUCGCCAGGUUGAAACUCCAAGGAAUUGACGGGGGCCCGCACAAGCGGUGGAUUAUGUGGUUUAAUUCGAUUGCACGCGAAGAACCUUACC
rnacentral:rRNA from 1 species